UACGGAGGGUGCAAGCGUUGUCCGGAUUUAUUGGGUUUAAAGGGUGCGUAGGCGGCUUUUUAAGUCAGUGGUGAAAUACAGCAGCUCAACUGUUGAGGUGCCAUUGAUACUGAGAGGCUUGAGUACAGAUGAGGUAGGCGGAAUUUAUGGUGUAGCGGUGAAAUGCAUAGAUACCAUAAAGAACACCGAUUGCGAAGGCAGCUUACUAAGCUGUAACUGACGCUGAGGCACGAAAGCGUGGGGGAGCGAACAGGA
rnacentral:rRNA from 1 species